GGUGCAUUGCACAUGUCGAUGUAAUGAGUGCACAUACUCUGUGACGUCAGAGACAACGUUUUGCACCGAGAGAGUAAAAUGGCGACUCUGCGUUCCGGGCACUCAGUAGUCUGCUCAGCGUGAGCAGCGAGCCAUCGCUCACAGUGCUCCCGCGCCCGUCUCUGGCCGGUUCCUGCUAGCCGCUGUUCAUGCGGUAACUAUGAAGCUGUUCCACUUGCUACUGCUGCUGGGAGUUGUCUGCAUUGUCAUUGAUAGCGUCUGCAGCGAUCCGCGACGUCGUGGCUGGAGAGGCAGAAGAAGAGGCUGGAGAAGGGGCAUAGCAAGGAGUCGAUUUUGCAGAAAAUUCCGAAUUUUUUGCUUCUUGAUCUUCUUGCGACGAGCCAGGACAACAGCUGCACCAACAACAACGCCAACUACAACAACUGAGACCACAACAACCGAUACCACUACUGAACUUACAACAACUGAAACAACAACGGAGUCUACGACAACCGAGACGACAACUGAAACGACAACUGUACCUACCACAACCGAAACGACCACUGAACCUACCACAACUGAAACGACCACUGAAACUACGACAACUGAAACAACAACAGUGACAACAACUCCAUCGACUGCGGCACCGACUCCAGCAUAACCGUCGGUCGCAUUCACCAGUGAAGAACAUCCAACGCCAUCCGAUCGUGUGACAUUAUCCGGAAUUGGAGGUGACAAAAAAAUUCACAAGGGGAGGGACUGAAAAUAAAAGUUGUGUUCGGAUCA